CUGAGCCCCCCGUCUGUCUAUAUAUAGCCCCAUGCCAUUAAUUAGAGAGCCACUCCUCUCUCUGCCUCGAAAACCGUGCCCUCACCUAACCCUAGGGCUGCCUCCCACCUCUCUAUCCCACCUCCAACCGCCGGGCCCGCCCGAGCCCGGGUCAGGCCCGCCGAAGCCCAUCUCGGCCCUAGGCUAACCCUAGCCCGAGCUCCCGUGCCUUCGCCGUCGACCGCCGCCUCCUGGCCGCAGCAGCCCGAGCUGCCGUGCCCCGCGCCUCCGGCGACACCCGCCGGCCGUCCCGUUCGCCUACCGUCGCCUGCUCCAGCAGCGCUAAGCUCUCCUCGCCGGAGACCUGCAGCACCGGGCCGCAGCCGCCGCCAUGGCCGCCGCCCCACGCCGUGCCUUGGCUCCCCGCCGGCCUCCCGCGCCAGAUCCGGCCGGCCUACGCCGGAACCGGCCACCUGCACCGACCGUCGGAGGCGCCCGCCUCCAUCCCGCCGACGCCUGCUGCCGUCGAGGUCUUCGCCAUCGCAGCUGCGUGUGGCUCCCGCUCGGGAGGAGCCCGACGGGUAGGCCUGUUCCACCUCGCCAGCUCGCGGGCCGCGCAGGAGCAGCCAGGCUGCCAGAUCCGN
rnacentral:lncRNA from 1 species